rnacentral:ncRNA from 2 species
GAAUUCAAUGACUCGUCAGGUGCUCUACCGCUGGUAGAGAGAAUAGGGAAACCGGUGAAAAUCCGGUGCGGUCCCGCCACUGUAUGCAGUGUAUCGCCGUGAUCCACUGUGGUUCUGCCAUGGGAAGGAAGCGGACUUGAAAGUUGCUGCGAGCCAGGAGACCUGCCUGAGAGCGUGCUUGAGC